rnacentral:rRNA from 1 species
UACGUAGGUGGCAAGCGUUGUCCGGAUUUACUGGGCGUAAAGAGCGCGCAGGCGGUCGUUCAAGUCGCGUGUGAAAGCCCCCGGCUCAACUGGGGAGGGUCACGCGAUACUGAUCGACUCGAAGGCAGGAGAGGGUAGUGGAAUUCCCGGUGUAGUGGUGAAAUGCGUAGAUAUCAGGAGGAACACCGGUGGCGAAGGCGCACACCUGGCCCGAUACUGACGCUGAGGCGCGAAAGCUAGGGGAGCAAACGGG